rnacentral:rRNA from 1 species
AGUGAACGCUGGCGGCAGGCCUAACACAUGCAAGUCGAGCGGCAGCGGGUUCCCGCGAGGGGAUGCCGGCGAGCGGCGGACGGGUGAGGAACACAUCGGAAUCUGCCUGGUUGUGGGGGAUAACGUAGGGAAACUUACGCUAAUACCGCAUGAGACCCUGAGUCGACGGACUGGGGGGUGAAAGUGAGGGACCUUCGGGCCUCACGCGACCAGAUGAGCCGAUGUCGGANAGCUAGUUGGCGGGGUAACGGCCCGCCAAGGCGACGAUCCGUAGCUGGUCUGAGAGGAUGAUCAGCCACAC